AUCAAAUAUCCGCCAACGUGAAGAUCCGAGUUCAGAUCCCAGCAAACACCUGCUUGAGAUGGUAAAAGAUUGAAUUCUGCUAAAAAUAGGCUUCCAAGAAAACUGCACCCCUUCCUGUGAAAGUUCCCACCCUUGGGGAGGAGCCAGGGAAUAGAUAACCAGAAAGCAGAACUGUAAGACACCAUGCCUGCUAAGCUUAGGCCCUGCUGUUCUGUCCAGGUGGCUCUUUUCUUAAGGAGUGUAUUCUAUUCAGUACUUCCUCUAAUUAAACUAUUAACUUCUUGAACUAUGACUGUGUCCCAGGUAAACUCCUCUCUAUUGGAAGCACAAGAAUGGGAGCUUCUGGUGGGGUAGAGACGAGAAAAAAUUGUAGGUCUCCCCAUAGUGCCUUCUCGGAAGUAUGCUACCGAAGGUCCAGAAGGCAGAAAAUUAUGGGUACUAGAUGCUAAAAAUCUGGCUGGUGAGCCCAGAUAUGGUAUCAUGAUACUGGCCUGGGACAUUAGUUUCAUAGAAUAAAGUAGUCCAUGGGGCUACUAUUCCCCACAUGAUCUGCUGAAGUCAGAAGUUUGCACGAUCUAUGGGGAGAGAGGAUACCCUGCAUGAUCCAGAUACCCAGACAAUCUGUCUCGACAGGAUCCUCUGGGAGUAUACAACAGGACCCGUCCUCCAGUGACUGUGGACACUGGCCAACUCCCUGGCAGCCAUUGCUUCUUUUUUGAGUCGGCACUACAUCGGUUUUAUUGACUAAAUAAAAUCCAAAAGGACGUCGGCGUUCCUCUCCUGCAGUUUCAUCUAGAUUCCACGAGGUGGCACUGUGCUAGGCUGUAGACAGCACAGCAGAACGCUAGAGAAAAGGAGAAUGUGUAUUUGUGCUGAGAACAAGCGUCCAGGGUGGUUUGCGGAGACUGAGAGAAGACGGGAAGACAGGCGAAGCCUGCCCCGAGGCUCAGACAUUUUCAGCAUUUGCUCUUUUUCAGGUUUUCGGAAUUCUGCUUCCUGGAAGAAACAUAGAGAACUCUCAAAGCAUAAGCCUGACUCAUUUGCUGUGACGCUGUCGGACCUCACACAGCCGAAUCUAUCCCACACUUUCUUUAGUGUGUCCCGUUUGCCUGCUUAUUCCUGUUAAAUUCCAGACCGCUUCAAUCUCUCCAUCUCUAGAAAAUUUGAACUUAUCAAAUUAUCACUUCUAUCCCGGUGUCAUUCUCUGACAUAGCUGCCGGCUUCUCUUAGGACACUGCUGUUUAUUAUACCGCUAGAAAACACCUUUUCUACCAGGAAAUGGCUACAACUGUCUUUAGGAGAGGGACAGAGUUUGUGUUAUGUAAGUAAGAAAGAAAAAAACCCUUAGCAGUCCGUAAUGUCUGCCUCAGGAGGCAGUGAGUUUCUUGUCUUUAGGAAUACUUGGACCAGCCGGUCGGAAUACCCCUCACACCAGCCUCCCAACAGGUACGCACUGCAAGCCACCCUUACUAUCACUUCCGGGUGGCUGGGAAGGACGUGAGCCGCAGUCUCUCCAAAGGCGCCUACCAGCGCAGUUUCCCCCUCUUUUGUUGAAACUAAUGAGUCACGAUCAGAGGAAUGUUUUUCUGUGACUCCAAAACCAUUUUGCUUAAUGAGGUACUAAGUCUUUAUAAUUAGGCCCAGAAGGAAAUGAGGACGUGGCCCUUAAGAGCAAUAAUUAUUUCAGUUAUUUAUGGUAAUAAAAAAUUGAAAAUAGGAAUUCUUCCUCAGAAUGCGACUAUUUAUUCUUUUACAUAUUGCCUAACAGGCAAUUACCCUAUUAAGGCAGCGUUUUGUUGCUAAAGACAUUAAUUGAAAUGUAAAUUAAAUGUAAAUCAGCUAAUUAAAUUGAUAUGUAAUGAACUUGUCAGGCGGGCCUCUCUGAUCAGAUGCCCUUCACUAAUAAACAAGAGCCGCAGCCCGCCCAACACACAACUGGGGCAGAGAGGUCCUAGCCUAGCCGUACCUGGACAGCCAAGAACAGAGUGGCAGGCUCUUCAGAACUUCCGGAGCUGGGAACAUUAGGUCAUUGCUCUUGGGAACACUAUUUUGGGGUACCUAUCUGGGCUUCUUUUUCAUCAGAUACAGAGCUUCACAUGCAGACACUAGAAAAUUCCGUGCAAACUGGGACGUGUCUGCCUGGAAGUUGGGUGUACUUUGGGGGUGACCAUUCAUGGAGGUGCCACCAGUGCUUUCUGAUUCCCUUAGCUGCAUGUUCCUCUCUGGGCUGUGCUGUCCUUGGGUUGAGGUCUUAUAGACCCCCCCCCCCCCAAUUCUACACAGCGGAGCAGAGUUAAAUGAAGUUAAGUGUUGAGGCUUUUGUCACUUGACCUAGGGCAUUUUUGUAGCUAGCAUGAACUGGCGCAGCUGAGCCAGUUGUUCCAAUAUUGAAACAAUCUGUUGGCAAAUAGCUACUUUUCUACCUCAUGGCAAUUUGUGUCUCAGAUGUACGUGUCUCCUUUGUCCUGGCCUCUCAAGAUCCUUUCCCAGAGUCCUCAGCAUGGAAAACGUUCAUGUCUAGUAUGAGAAGGGCCUCUCAAGGCACUGGGUUGGUACCCAUUCUGAUUGGCUAAUACCCCUGUACACCUUGGAGUGGGUUACUCCUAAACCAGUCCUUGUGAUGGAGAAAUCCCAUUCCAUUGUAGCAAAUAGAAAGAUGCUUUCUUGGUUACUGGGUGUGUCCAGCUGUGGUCCACAGGCUACAGACAUCCCAGGACAACUCCAAAUGCAGCCCAGCGUACUGUAAAUGAUCAGCUUUCACAAUGGCAAAAGGUUGGACACCCAGGCCUGCUAGACUUGGUUAAAGGGAUUCUCAGAACAGAGGGCUUAGCCUCACUCCCAGAGCUUCUAAUUCAGGGAUGUGUCCUGAGCCUCUGUGUCCCUGUCAGGUUGCUAGGUAACAGGGAUGCUGCUGGGCUGGAGACCACACUUAGAGCCACCCUUCAGAGCACUGAGAACAUCAUCACUCAGGUUGAGUUAUGGUGAGUAAUACAGUUGAGGAACCAGGGGAAAGAAAAUUGUAGGCAGAGCCACAGAUUUAGAUAAAAGAAAUUGUUUCAGUGCUCAGCUGUGUUCAUGUAUGUUAUCCCUCUGGUCACUGAUUAAAUACUUCCCUAAAAGAACUCAAGAAAGGAAAGGUUUGCUUUGGUUCAGAGCUUUAAGGACUUAAAUCUGUUAUGGCAGGAGAGAAGACCUGGUUGUGGGUGUUCCUACAGCAUCUGGAGUGUGCAGCAGCUGCCUGCUUAAUUUUCAGUGGACCAGAAUGCAAAGGCACGACAAGAAGAAGGGUCAGCUAUAAACUGUGUGGCCAACCCCCAGUGCUUGCCCCAGCUCUGAUGACCUGAGUUUGAUCCUUGGAACCCACAUGAUGGAGAGAUAAAACCAACUCUUGCAGGUUGUACUAUGGUCUCUGCUUGUAUGCUAAGGCAUGCUCACCACCACCCCGCCCCAC